AUUGAACGCUGGCGGCACGCUUAACACAUGCAAGUCGAACGGCAGCGGGGGGAGCUUGCUCCCUGCCGGCGAGUGGCGAACGGGUGAGUAACGCGUAGGGAUCUGCCUGUUAGAGGGGGAUAAGCCGUGGAAACGCGGUCUAAUACCGCAUACGCUCUAAGGAGGAAAGUAUGGGACCGAAAGGCCAUACGCUAACAGAUGAAACUGCGUUAGAUUAGCUAGUUGGUAGGGUAAAGGCCUACCAAGGCGACGAUCUAUAGCUGGUCUGAGAGGAUGACCAGCCACACUGGAACUGAGAUACGGACCAGACUCCUACGGGAGGCAGCAGUGGGGAAUAUUGGACAAUGGGGGCAACCCUGAUCCAGCGAUGCCGCGUGUGUGAAGAAGGCCUGAGGGUUGUAAAGCACUUUAGUUGGGGAGGAAAGCCUGAGGAUGAAUAAGCCUUAGGGGAGACGUUACCCAAAGAAUAAGCACCGGCUAACUCUGUGCCAGCCGCCGCGGUAA
rnacentral:rRNA from 1 species